CAAUGCGCAGCUACCAUGCAGUCGAGCGGGGAGAUGUAGCUUGCUACAUUUCCUAGCGGCGGACGGGUGAGUAAUGCUUAGGAAUCUGCCUAUUAGUGGGGGACAACAUUCCGAAAGGAAUGCUAAUACCGCAUACGCCCUACGGGGGAAAGCAGGGGAUCUUCGGACCUUGCGCUAAUAGAUGAGCCUAAGUCAGAUUAGCUAGUUGGUGGGGUAAAGGCCUACCAAGGCGACGAUCUGUAGCGGGUCUGAGAGGAUGAUCCGCCACACUGGGACUGAGACACGGCCCAGACUCCUACGGGAGGCAGCAGUGGGGAAUAUUGGACAAUGGGCGCAAGCCUGAUCCAGCCAUGCCGCGUGUGUGAAGAAGGCCCUUUGGUUGUAAAGCACUUUAAGCGAGGAGGAGGCUACUUGGAUUAAUACUCUAGGAUAGUGGACGUUACUCGCAGAAUAAGCACCGGCUAACUCUGUGCCAGCAGCCGCGGUAAUACAGAGGGUGCGAGCGUUAAUCGGAUUUACUGGGCGUAAAGCGUGCGUAGGCGGCUUUUUAAGUCGGAUGUGAAAUCCCUGAGCUUAACUUAGGAAUUGCAUUCGAUACUGGGAAGCUAGAGUAUGGGAGAGGAUGGUAGAAUUCCAGGUGUAGCGGUGAAAUGCGUAGAGAUCUGGAGGAAUACCGAUGGCGAAGGCAGCCAUCUGGCCUAAUACUGACGCUGAGGUACGAAAGCAUGGGGAGCAAACAGGAUUAGAUACCCUGGUAGUCCAUGCCGUAAACGAUGUCUACUAGCCGUUGGGGCCUUUGAGGCUUUAGUGGCGCAGCUAACGCGAUAAGUAGACCGCCUGGGGGAGUACCGGUCGCAAGACUAAAACUCAAAGGAAUUGACGGA
rnacentral:rRNA from 1 species